GUCCAGUCUCCCUACUCCCCUAGGCCUGCCUCUCCACCUUCUUGGCCUGUCUCUCCUCCCCAUCCUCUCUGCCUUACCCAACCCUCUCUCCCAUCCCAUCCAGCGACUUUCUCUCUGCUGCCUCAGACCCUGGAUUAGCGGUCCUUGCAUGAUGAGCCCUUCUUUGUUUAUUUCUCCUUUAACCUGCUUGAAAGAACUCCUUUCUCCUUCGUGGGGAAGCAAGUUGGGAUGGAGCAAGGGCUCUUCCUACCCUACCGCUACAAAGGAAAGUACCUGGGCCUUAACACUGCUCACCAACUGCUCAAAUCAAGUCAAACCUGAGUCUGUAAACAGGAUGGUAAAAUCGUUAGGCCCUGGAUAAAGAUUUUUCUCACCAGGAUAACAGUCUCCAGACAACACUGGAAACAGCUACGUCUUCUGCCAAGGUUCAUCAACACAAACUGCUCUUCUCACAAGCCAUCCAGAGAGUCAUGACUUCUAAUGGAAAGAAAGCAUCAUAAUGAAAGCAAGGAGCAGCAACUCUGCAAGGCUUCAGUUAAGAUGUGCAGAAACAUUCUAGCAUGGACUCUCCAUUUUCCCAGUCUCUGUGCAUGAUUUACUUAAACUGACUUGUGAGCACUAUAAUAUCAAUCUCUAACAUGACAUCAAAGUUUAAACUGUGUGAAUCAUAUGCAUCUCAGAAAAAGUAUAUUUGUGAGGAUUCAAAAUAUCUAAAUGAAUAUAUUUAAUAUCUAGAUUUUUUUAUUAUAAAAUAGAACCUUAUCAUCAAUUAGAAACUUCACUGCUGCCAAAUUCUUCUAAUUAGAGGUUGGAGAUAUUUCUUAGUUGAUAGACUGCCUGCCUAGCAUGCAUGAGGUCUGGGGUUUGAGUCUCAGAACCUCCAAACCUGGUCAUAAUGACACCUGCUUCUAAUCUCAGCACUCAGAUGAUAAAGAUGGAGAAUCAGAGACUCAGAGAUAACCUUGGCUACAUGAGACUGUCUCAGAAAACAGAAUGAAUAAUAAAACCCACUGAUAGUUGCUGUACUUGGGGCACCACAGUUCCCUCUUAAUAUAAAACUUCUUGAGCAACCUGCAAAAGGGAGAUCACCUUGGUGAUCCUCUGCUCCUGAAGCAGGUCGUACCCCAAGGAGAGAUGUUCUCACAGUUCAGAAUCAUAGCCUCAGACCUUCAUGGGAACAGCAUUGCUGAAGACCAGGGACAGAGAAGGGAGCUGAUUAAGCCUUGCCAUGCAUCCCUCAGCUCAUGACCAGAGAGCAUGCGCUAGCUGCAGCCUGGGCUUUCUCUCAUCAGCAGAAAAACAAGAAAAAACAGAUCGAACCUUUUGUCUACUCAGCUCCAAAGUCAAG
rnacentral:lncRNA from 1 species